AACUUCUGAAUGUUGACCUCGGAUCAGGUAGGAAUACCCGCUGAACUUAAGCAUAUCAAUAGC
rnacentral:rRNA from 1 species